rnacentral:rRNA from 1 species
CCUACGGGUGACAGCAGUGAGGAAUAUUGGUCAAUGGACGAGAGUCUGAACCAGCCAAGUAGCGUGAAGGAUGACUGCCCUAUGGGUUGUAAACUUCUUUUAUAUGGGAAUAAAACGUUCCACGUGUGGGAUUUUGUAUGUACCAUAUGAAUAAGGAUCGGCUAACUCCAUGCCAGCAGCCGCGGUAAUACGGAGGAUCCGAGCGUUAUCCGGAUUUAUUGGGUUUAAAGGGAGCGUAGGUGGAUUGUUAAGUCAGUUGUGAAAGUUUGCGGCUCAACCGUAAAAUUGCAGUUGAAACUGGCAGUCUUGAGUACAGUAGAGGUGGGCGGAAUUCGUGGUGUAGCGGUGAAAUGCUUAGAUAUCACGAAGAACUCCGAUUGCGAAGGCAGUUCACUGGACUGCAACUGACACUGAGGCUCGAAAGUGUGGGUAUCAAACAGGAUUAGAUACCCGUGUAGUC